UGAGGAAUAUUGGUCAAUGGGCGAGAGCCUGAACCAGCCAAGUCGCGUGAGGGAAGACGGUCCUACGGAUUGUAAACCUCUUUUGUCGGGGAGCAAUAAGGCGUACGAGUACGCAGAUGCGAGUACCCGAAGAAAAAGCAUCGGCUAACUCCGUGCCAGCAGCCGCGGUAAUACGGAGGAUGCGAGCGUUAUCCGGAUUUAUUGGGUUUAAAGGGUGCGCAGGCGGAAAGUGCAAGUCAGCGGUCAAACGACGGGGCUCAACCCCGUCUCGCCGUUGAAACUGUCUUUCUAGAGUGAGCGAGAAGUAUGCGGAAUGCGUGGUGUAGCGGUGAAAUGCAUAGAUAUCACGCAGAACUCCGAUUGCGAAGGCAGCAUACCGGCGCUCAACUGACGCUCAUGCACGAAAGCGUGGGUAUCGAACAGGAUUAGAUACC
rnacentral:rRNA from 1 species